CCCACGCGGGCGCCGGAGCAGCCAUGCUUGGGGAGCUCGUCUGUGCGCUGCGCCGGUCCGCCGAUCGAGACAUCACCCCACCUGAGUCUGGCCAAGGCCCUGCAAGGAUUAUUUUGUCGGUUUUAUAGAUGAGGAAAUAGGCGCAGAGGAAUCAAAGGGCUUGUCUAGGAUUCCAUGGCUUGCAAGUUGGGGCUUGAACCCAAGAUUUGACUCCAAAUUUAUGCUCUCGCUAUUUCAUCAUGGACCAAUUGAAGGAAGGUUUGGAGAGUGUCUGUGACGCAUCCAGAGAUCUGCCUCCAGCUGAAGAAGUGAUCACGCUGCAGUAGUGCAGGCUUGUCCCAGGAUUUUAUUCCACUUGAGAGGAUGGAUGGUGCUGUGAGGCACCACCCUGCCUGCCCUCUGCGCUUCUGCCAGGAGAGAGCCCUCCCUCACUGAGCAUGGCCCUCACGGAAGGAAAUUCGGUUUCUCUCUGUCAUUUCCUGUUCCUUCUUUGUUAACCUUGCAGGUGAGGAAGGAAAUUCAGUUUCUCUCUGUCAUUUCCUAUUCCUUCUUUGUUUACCUUGCAGGUGAGGCAGAAGUUGGGGAAGAGGCAUCCAACCAGGGUUCCCUACUCCCAGCUCUAGAUCUAGUUGUGAUAAAGGUCUCUGAAUUUGAAAGUAAAAAUAAUCCUAUCCUACUCCCCAUUUAUGUACUGGUUUUGCACUGUUCACAACUCAGAACCCUGUUGUUUUUCUUUUCUUUCUCUGACUCCUCCCAAUAUAGGCCCUGCCAGCUAACUAAAGCUCACAUUGCCCAGGGUCUAACAGAAUCUUGUCUGUCCAGUAGGGAUGGCUUUACCAGGCGUUAGAGAAGAGUCUAUUACUUGACCGCCUCCAUCACUCUUUUUUUGUUAAAGAUUUAUUUUUUUGUUUAUACAAUAGCUGGGGUGUAGGCCAGAGGCACGGAAGGGUGAGAGGAUUCACCAGAGACAGAGUGGGGAGCAGGAUAGGCAGAUGGACUGAAAGCACUGCUGAGGAGAGCAGCAGGCACGACAGGAGAGGUCUGCCGUGGCAUGUGGGAAUCUCCCUGGCUGCCCUGGAAUUGAGCCCGCACUGCAGAGGGUGCAGACAGCUUCACAGCGCUAUGCUCAACCUGCUGGGAGGUUGAGGGAGGCCUCCAUCACUCUUUAUAAGUCAAAAUUUGACAACAGAAAAGCACAAUCAUAAAUGUUACAAGUAAUCAGAGAAAUGGAUUGAAAUACAAUUUUUUUCAGCCACCAAAUGGGCAAAAAAUUAUAGAUUUAUGAUAGUUUAUGCUGGUAAGGGGAUGAGAAAACUCUGAAAUUGUGUCUAUAAAUAUGAACACAAUCUGCUAUAAGUUAAAUAAGGAAGAGAGGUUAUAUUCAGUGAUAACACUUUUGCUCAUUUAUCCCAUGGAAAUUAAUUUCUAGGUUGUAAGAAUAUAUAGUCAGGAAAGCUGACUGCAGUUUUAUUUGUACUGUAAAAACCUAAAAGAAAUUUGAAUUUCUAUUAGGAAAUGUUGAAUAAAUUAGUUUGUUAGUAAUAUAGAACGUAUCAUGUGGAAAGCUGUGUGGAGGACCCUCAAGUUACUAAAAGUGGAUCUACCAUAUGACCCAGAAAUUCCAUUCCUAGGAAUCUAUCCAAAAGACCAAAAAAAAUUAAUUCAAAAGGAAACCUGCAUUCCUAUGCUUAUUGUAGCACUAUUUACAAUAGCUAAAAUAUAGAGACAACCUAAAUGCUCCAAAACAGAUGACUGGAUCAAGAAGAUGUGGUAUAUAUACACAAUGAAAUAUUACUCAGCAAUCAAAAAAGAUAAACUUAUGCCAUUUGCAGCAUGGAUGGGGCUGGAAGGGAUCAUGCUCAGUGAAAUAAGCCAGAAGGAAAAAGAAAAAUAUUGAAUGGUUUCAUUUAGAGGAGGAAUAUAGGGAAACCGAAAAAGGGGCCAGGAAAAUAAAAAGACAAACAUUUGCAGGCGAACUAUAGAACUGAGACACACCACAGGGGAGGAAGAGGGAGCGUGUUUAAAGGGAGGAGGAAAGAGCACGGAGACUAUAGUGACAGUUCAUGACUGAUUUGGGGGUAGGAAUUUUAUGGGGAAUUACACCUGAGGGGAAAAAAUCAAACAUUAUACAAAAAUGAACAACUGUGUAAAAAUAAAAUAAAUAAAAAUUUAAAAAUAAUCAGUUACGAUUAGCUGUGUGGACUUAGCUGUUUAGAACAAGUCAAUAUGAAUGUAGUAAUAAAAGUUACAUCAUAUUAAUAGAGUCAUCUUACCUUUGGGGAAAAUAAGGAAGUCUUUAUGUAUACAUGGUUCUAUGGGUAUGGAGAAAGUAGGGGCAGGAUACCACCUCAACUAAUAGAAUGUGAUCCCUCAAAGGUAGAGUUGAACUAGAGAAGGAGACCUGAACACAUCUGGAUAGUCUGACUUGUUAUCUUAAACACAAACUGAUAUUGUGAUUUUUUUUUAACACAAAGUGGAAAAAAAUUGAGAGAAUUUGUUUGAGGGAUACUAGUUUCUGUCACUUAGUUGUUGUGAGAGGUUUGGUCAGUUACUUCACCUCAGUCCUCAUCUAUAAAAUAAUACCUCACAGUGUUUGGUUAAAGGAAAUAAAGUAUACAAGGCAUGUAGCACAUUGUAAUCCUUCUAUAAGUGUUAGUUUUGGGUUUUUUUUUUUUUUUUUGUUCCCCUUCUGCACAAGCAAUUUAGAGUAGACUAUUAAAACACAUGCAAAACGUGUCAGCUGUGCUAUUGGGAUGUGUUAUCCUGAUGUUCUCAGCUAGGCCUUGGCCUACCAAGGAGAUAGAUUAGGUCCCUCCGGAAAAAAUAUCCAGGAGAUAAUCUCUAUUUCCCUUCCUUAAUCCUUCCAGAGACGAAAUAAGAAUAAUAUACAAUGGCGUCUUGGCCCUCUGGGGUUUACUUACUGGGUACCGCAGUUACUAGUAACCCAGCACAGAGGUACGAAGGAAGGAAGAGGGCCUCUGAAUAGCCAAAACAGAUGUCCAAGCUUCAAGCUCUAACAAGAUCAUUUGUUCUUAUUUUACACAACCUAAACAAGCUUUCUAGCCUUAACACAUCCGCAAGGGUGCUUCAGCAGGCUCCCAGAGGGAUGGGCUGUUCUGAGCCCAGGGAUGCAGGGAAGAUUAAAAUGCAAACACCAAAACUCAAGAGACUGGAUGGUCUCAGUCACAAUGAAUAACUGAUCUUCAUAAUGACGACGGUGAAGUAUAAGGGAGAAGUUAAUUCAUGCUUUGUAUAAUCUUGUAAAGGCCACUAACUAGAGUAUGAUAAGAUCUAGAAAUAUUGCCACCAGAGAUGAUUAAAUCUUUUCAGUUUUGCUGCUUAAAAAGUUUUGUUUUUGUGUCAGUGCCAGAAUAUAACUAGAGGUCCUUAUCCUACAAAGGAAAGAAUAUAGCUGCCUAUAGUUAGAAAUCCAUAUAGCCAAGUGUGCUAGACAUUAAUGUACUCAGAAUGGCUAGGAUGG